UACGUAGGGAGCGAGCGUUAUCCGGAUUUAUUGGGUGUAAAGGGUGCGUAGGCGGUUUAUUAAGUCUGUUGUUUAAGUCCGAAGCUUAACUUCGGUUCGCAAUGGAAACUGAUUUACUUGAGUAUAGUAGAGGCAAGUGGAAUUUCUAGUGUAGCGGUUAAAUGCGUAGAUAUUAGAAGGAACACCAGUGGCGAAGGCGACUUGCUGGGCUAUUACUGACGCUGAGGCACGAAAGCGUGGGGAGCAAAUA
rnacentral:rRNA from 1 species